GGGGAGUACGACCGCAAGGUUGAAACUCAAAGGCAUGGACGGGGGCCCGCACAAGCGGUGGAGCAUGUGGUUUAAUUCGAAGCAACGCGAAGAACCUUACCAGGUCUUGACAUCCUUUGACCACUCUAGAGAUAGAGCUUCCCCUUCGGGGGCAAAGUGACAGGUGGUGCAUGGUUGUCGUCAGCUCGUGUCGUGAGAUGUUGGGUUAAGUCCCGCAACGAGCGCAACCCUUAUUGUUAGUUGCCAUCAUUCAGUUGGGCACUCUAGCAAGACUGCCGGUGACAAACCGGAGGAAGGUGGGGAUGACGUCAAAUCAUCAUGCCCCUUAUGACCUGGGCUACACACGUGCUACAAUGGGAAGUACAACGAGUCGCGAAGUCGCGAGGCUAAGCUAAUCUCUUAAAGCUUCUCUCAGUUCGGAUUGCAGGCUGCAACUCGCCUGCAUGAAGCCGGAAUCGCUAGUAAUCGCGGAUCAGCACGCCGCGGUGAAUACGUUCCCGGGCCUUGUACACACCGCCCGUCACACCACGAGAGUUUGUAACACCCGAAGUCGGUGAGGUAACCUUNUUGGAGCCAGCCGCCUAAGGUGGGAUAGAUGAUUGGGGUGAAGUCGUAACAAGGUAGCCGUAUCGGAAGGUGCGGCUGGAUCACCUCCUUUCUAAGGAA
rnacentral:rRNA from 1 species